rnacentral:rRNA from 1 species
UACGAAGGGGGCGAGCGUUGUUCGGAUUUACUGGGCGUAAAGGGCGCGCAGGCGGCUCAUUUUGUCAGGCGUGAAAGCCCCGGGCUUAACCUGGGAACUGCGUUUGAUACGGAUGGGCUAGAGUUCGGGAGAGGAGAGUGGAAUUCCCAGUGUAGAGGUGAAAUUCGUAGAUAUUGGGAAGAACACCGGUGGCGAAGGCGGCUCUCUGGACCGAUACUGACGCUGAGGCACGGAAAGCGUGGGGAGCAAACAGG